UACGGGGGGAGCAAGCGUUGUUCGGAUUUACUGGGCGUAAAGGGCGCGUAGGCGGCCUGCUAAGUCGGAUGUGAAAUCCCUCGGCUCAACCGAGGAACUGCAUCCGAUACUGGCGGGCUUGAAUCCGGGAGAGGGAUGCAGAAUUCCAGGUGUAGCGGUGAAAUGCGUAGAUAUGUGGAGGAACACCGAUGGCGAAGGCAGCCCCCUGGGCCUGUACUGACGCUCAUGCACGAAAGCGUGGGGAGCAAACAGG
rnacentral:rRNA from 1 species